rnacentral:lncRNA from 1 species
CGGCUGUCUAGUACAUUCUUAAUCCAUCCCAUUGCAGAGCUUUCUCACCCCCACAAGAAGCCCCUAGCCACCAGCAACCAUUUCAUACGCCCGACCCAACCCGUCUCAACUCCAGCAAUCCCAAGCUGCUCUCUGAACCAAGGAUUUUGCGUCUUGUGGAGAGUUCACAUGCUACCCUGGAAAAGUAAGAUACCAUGUUGAAGAGGCCCACAGGGCAAGGACUUGAAGACACCUCCAGCUAACAGCCAGCAAAGAGCUGAAGGCCUCAGUCCAACAGCUCUCAAGGAACUGACUUCUAUCAACAAUCAUGAGAGUUUAGAGAUGGACACUUCCCUAGAGUCAGCUUUACCUGUGCCAGUAUCUUGAUCAUAUCCUUGGCACUAAAGGGAGUGCAACAUCCCACACACAGCUCCGUUCCAGCUCCACUGACAGAGGAACUAAGUUGGAGAGUGACAGGGAGGUGACAGGGUCCCCUGCAACCCAUAAAACCUCACAGCGGCACUACAAGGUGUGCAGGCCAUCUAGGCUCAUCCAUGUGGUCUCCUGCCUGGGAUCGCUCAGCAUCCGGCCAAAUUUCUCCCAAGGACAAGGCCUCACACUUGGGAUCACUGCCCAGAGUCCAAAGUUGAACCACCACAGAGUUGAAACCCACGCUGUAUACUUUAUCCACUGCCAUCUAAGCCACUCUGGCUCAGUGCCAUCUUAAAGCCAGACCCACUGAUACAAUGUGUCCUGCUCUGGGGGCUGGUACCCAGAGUGGAGACUCCACAGGCGUUCUGCUAUGUUGUAUAGAUGACCAGAGUACCGCAAUGCUGGCUGCUCAGAGCUCCAGUGUGGCAGGAAGAAGACCUGAGGCUCUGCCAGUAUGGCUUCCUAACCUUCAGCAGACGUGACCGAGGGGAAGCUGAUACUAACAUGGCUGACAUGCCCAUGUGUCUCUGUGGCCAGGCCUACAAGACAGAAGUCACUGCCUCCCACCAUCACACACCUGACUGGACCACAACACCCACCACACUCGAGGUCUAACAGCCUGCAAAGUGGGCCAUCUUCCUUCCUCUUUGGAGAACUCACUGAAUAGCCAUCCUUGCUGCUCACCUUUACCUAGUCCAACAGUCAGCUAGGUACCAGCUCAGCACCCUGGGUGAGCCUGCUGUGCAGCCAUGCAGUCCCCAGAGCCCAGGCACAUCCAAGGCCAGACCAACAGUAAAUCAGAUAACAGCCCCACCCACCACGCAGCCUGCUGUACAGCCAGUAUCUGUGGGUACCCACAGCACCUGUGUGAACCAUCUGCCAAACACACAGUGGCCCAAAGCCCAGCAAAGCCGUGCCAUAUCACCACAAUUAUAAACAUAGUCAGCCCAGGCCAGAGGCACAACAGAGUCCACUCAGAGCCAAAGCUAAGGCCCACCACGUUCUGUGUGGGCCAGAGAACAAUCUGACAGCCGCGCUUUCUGUUUUGACACGGAGCCAAGGUGAAAGAGUAAAGAACCAGAGUGUUCACAUGCCCUUAAUCACUUAACAGAGUAAUGGCACACGCCCUUAAUCCCAGCAUUUGGGGGCAGAGAAGACUGGAUCUCUAGGUUCAAGGUCAGACUGGUCUACACAGAGAAUUGCAGGCAAGCCAGGGCUACAUAGUGAGACCCUGUCACAAGAAAAGAAAUUAAAUUUAAUUAAAAAUAAGUAAGUAAACAGAGUGAAAGAAAGAAAAGCAUCAUUAAAUCUGGUGUUCAAAACAUGCAGCAGAAACCAACAGGGGAAGACAGCCAGCUGGGGUUCCCAGGAGAGUCCGGGGCAGAGCAGACUCCCACCGGAAAGGGCUCCCAGGCAGAAGCACAGAUAACUGUGGGACACAGGUGGCGGUGCACGCCUCUAAUCCCAGCGCUCAGCAGGCCGACACAGGAGGACCUCUGAGUUGAGGCCAGCCUGGUCUACAGAGUGAAUUCUAGGACAGCCAGGGAUGCACAGGGAAACCCUGUCUCAAAAAAGCCAAACAGCAGGACAGCAGUGUCAUCAUAAAGGCUUACAAGAUGUCCGUCAGAAACCACCCAGAGAAGCUCCACUAACAGCCAGCUACAGUGCCUGGUAGACAGUGUCUCAGGCAGGACAGGGUGUCUCCGGGUGAGGCUUCUGAGUAAAAGAACAACUAGCGUUGAGGCCUGCUCGGGCCAUUUUGUCUUCAGACUCCAUAUCACUCAUGAGGUGAAGUUAGGUUCAUAGUUACUGCUUUAACUGACACUGAAGAAUGUUACUAAUACGCCAAAAUGGUAUGGUUGAUUCACUUGUACCUGGUUAUUUCGGUGUUCUGGAAUUCCCCUAUUCCCCACUUGUCCACCGCCCCUCUUACCUCACUCAGAACCAAUCAAUUUUUGUCCAGUUAGCCAAAAAUGCUGUAGCACUUCACUGCUUGCCUUUGAACUUAUGAACCUGGUUUUCCUAUAAAACCCUGCCCUGAGGACAAACUGGUGCCACAGUUUGGUUUUCCUUCCUGUGGACCUGGACAUCCAGUACACGUUCAAUAAACUAUUCUUGCUUAA